UACGGGGGGGGCAAGCGUUGUUCGGAAUUACUGGGCGUAAAGGGCGCGUAGGCGGCCUGCUAAGUCGGAUGUGAAAUCCCUCGGCUUAACCGGGGAACUGCGUCUGAUACUGGAUGGCUUGAGUUUGGGAGAGGGAUGCGGAAUUCCAGGUGUAGCGGUGAAAUGCGUAGAUAUCUGGAGGAACACCGGUGGCGAAGGCGGCAUCCUGGACCAACACUGACGCUGAGUGAGCGAAAGCCAGGGGAGCAAACGGG
rnacentral:rRNA from 1 species